rnacentral:rRNA from 1 species
GGGUUGUGAGGUUAAGCGACUAAGCGUACACGGUGGAUGCCCUGGCAGUCAGAGGCGAUGAAGGACGUGCUAAUCUGCGAUAAGCGCCGGUAAGGUGAUAUGAACCGUUAUAACCGGCGAUUUCCGAAUGGGGAAACCCAGUGUGAUUCGUCACACUAUCAUUAACUGAAUCCAUAGGUUAAUGAGGCGAACCGGGGGAACUGAAACAUCUAAGUACCCCGAGGAAAAGAAAUCAACCGAGAUUCCCCCAGUAGCGGCGAGCGAACGGGGAGGAGCCCAGAGCCUGAAUCAGCAUGUGUGUUAGUGGAAGCGUCUGGAAAGGCGCGCGAUACAGGGUGACAGCCCCGUACACAAAAGCGCAUGUGCUGUGAGCUCGAUGAGUAGGGCGGGACACGUGGUAUCCUGUCUGAAUAUGGGGGGACCAUCCUCCAAGGCUAAAUACUCCUGACUGACCGAUAGUGAACCAGUACCGUGAGGGAAAGGCGAAAAGAACCCCGGCGAGGGGAGUGAAAAAGAACCUGAAACCGUGUACGUACAAGCAGUGGGAGCACAGGUUUACCUGUGUGACUGCGUACCUUUUGUAUAAUGGGUCAGCGACUUAUAUUCUGUAGCAAGGUUAACCGAAUAGGGGAGCCGGAGGGAAACCGAGUCUUAACCGGGCGUUAAGUUGCAGGGUAUAGACCCGAAACCCGGUGAUCUAGCCAUGGGCAGGUUGAAGGUUGGGUAACACUAACUGGAGGACCGAACCGACUAAUGUUGAAAAAUUAGCGGAUGACCUGUGGCUGGGGGUGAAAGGCCAAUCAAACCGGGAGAUAGCUGGUUCUCCCCGAAAGCUAUUUAGGUAGCGCCUCGUGAAUUCAUCUCCGGGGGUAGAGCACUGUUUCGGCUAGGGGGCCAUCCCGGCUUACCAACCCGAUGCAAACUGCGAAUACCGGAGAAUGUUAUCACGGGAGACACACGGCGGGUGCUAACGUCCGUCGUGAAGAGGGAAACAACCCAGACCGCCAGCUAAGGUCCCAAAGUCAUGGUUAAGUGGGAAACGAUGUGGGAAGGCCCAGACAGCCAGGAUGUUGGCUUAGAAGCAGCCAUCAUUUAAAGAAAGCGUAAUAGCUCACUGGUCGAGUCGGCCUGCGCGGAAGAUGUAACGGGGCUAAACCAUGCACCGAAGCUGCGGCAGCGACACUCAGGUGUUGUUGGGUAGGGGAGCGUUCUGUAAGCCUGUGAAGGUGGCCUGUGAGGG